AUUGAACGCUGGCGGCAGGCCUAACACCUGCAAGUCGAACGAGUGGCGGACGGGUGAGUAAUGUCUGGGAAACUGCCUGAUGGAGGGUGAUAACUACUGGAAACGGUAGCUAAUACCGCAUACCCUCGGAUGUGCACCGCUGGGAUUAGCUAGUAGGGGAGGUAACGUCUCACCUAGGCGACGAUCCCUAGCUGGUCGGACAGGAUGACCAGCCACACGGGAACUGAGACACGGACCAGACUCCUACGUGCGGCAGCAGUGGGGAAUAGUGCACAAUGGGCGCAAGCCUGAUGUAGCCAUGCCGCGUGUAUGAAGAAGGCCUUCGGGUUGUAAAGUACUUUCAGCGGGGAGGCGUUACCCACAGAAGAAGCACCGGCUAACUCCGUGCCAGCCGCCGCGGUAAUAC
rnacentral:rRNA from 1 species